CCUACGGGAGGCAGCAGUGGGGGAUAUUGCACAAUGGGGGGAACCCUGAUGCAGCGACGCCGCGUGGGUGAAGGAGUGCUUCGGCAUGUAAAGCCCUAUCGGCAGGGAAGAAGCAAGACGGUACCUGACUAAGAAGCCCCGGCUAACUACGUGCCAGCAGCCGCGGUAAUACGUAGGGGGCGAGCGUUAUCCGGAUUCACUGGGUGUAAAGGGAGCGUAGACGGCCAUGCAAGCCAGGGGUGAAAGCCCGGGGCCAAACCCCUGGACUGCCCUUGGAACUGCAUGGCUGGAGUGCGGGAGGGGCAGGCGGAAUUCCUGGUGUAGCGGUGAAAUGCGUAGAUAGUAGGAGGAACACCAGUGGCGAAGGCGACUUUCUGGACUGUACCUGACGCUGAGGCGCGAAAGCGUGGGUAGCGAACGGGAUUAGAUACCCCAGUAGUC
rnacentral:rRNA from 1 species